rnacentral:rRNA from 1 species
UACGUAGGGGGCAAGCGUUGUCCGGAUUUAUUGGGCGUAAAGCGCUCGCAGGUGGUCCGAUGCGUCGUGCGUGAAAGACCCCGGCUCAACUGGGGAGGGUCGUGCGAUACGGUCGGACUGGAGGCCAGUAGGGGGAUGCGGAAUUCCGGGUGUAGUGGUGGAAUGCGUAGAGAUCCGGAGGAACACCAGCGGCGAAGGCGGUUCUCUGGGCAUUACCUGACGCUGAGGAGCGAAAGUGUGGGGAGCGAACAGG